UGAAUACGAGACGCUAAGGCGUCGAAGUAGUGUAUGUCAUACUUCCAAGAAAAGCUUGCACUGUCAUAAGUAAAAAAUGCCUGUACCAUAACCGACACAGGUGGGUAGGUAGAGUAUACUAAGGGGCGCGAGAUAACUCUCUCUAAGGAACUCGGCAAAAUAACUCCGUAACUUCGGGAGAAGGAGUACCUUAUUCUAUAAGGUUGCAAUAACAAGAUCCAAGCAACUGUUUAUCAAAAACACAGGUCUCCGCUAAGUCGUAAGACGAUGUAUGGGGGCUGACGCCUGCCCAGUGCCAGAAGGUUAAAGAAGUCGGUUAGCAUUGGCGAAGCUGGUAACUGAAGCCCUGGUGAACGGCGGCCGUAACUAUAACGGUCCUAAGGUAGCGAAAUUCCUUGUCGGGUAAGUUCCGACCCGCACGAAAGGCGUAAUGAUUUGGAUACUGUCUCGGAGAGGGGCUCGGUGAAAUAGACUUGUCUGUGAAGAUGCGGACUACCUGCACCAGGACAGAAAGACCCUAUGAAGCUUUACUGUAACUUGAAAUUGAAAUUGGACUUUAUUCGCGCAGUAUAGGUGGGAGGUGUUGAUUAUAAUCUUGCGGGAUUAUUGGAGCCAUCAGUGAGAUACCACUCUUGUAAUGUUAGAUUUCUAACUUUGAAUCAUUAUCUGGUCAAAGGACAGUUUCAGGCGGGCAGUUUGACUGGGGCGGUCGCCUCCCAAACGGUAACGGAGGCGUACAAAGGUUUCCUCUGAACGGGUAGAAAUCGUAUCUAGAGUGUAAAGGCAUAAGGAAGCUUGACUGUGAGACCUACAAGUCGAACAGGGACGAAAGUCGGUCUUAGUGAUCUGACGGUACUGAGUGGAAAGGCCGUCACUCAACGGAUAAAAGUUACUCUAGGAUAACAGGCUGAUCUCCCCCAAGAGUUCACAUCGACGGGGAGGUUUGGCACCUCGAUGUCGGCUCAUCGCAUCCUGGGGCGGUAGUACGUCCCAAGGGUUGGGCUGUUCGCCCAUGAAAGCGGUACGCGGGCUGGGUUCAGAACGUCGUGAGACAGUUCGGUCCAUAUCCGGUGUAGGCGUUAGAAUAUUGAGAGGAGCCUUCUUUAGUACGAGAGGACCGAGAAGGACAUACCUCUGGUGUACCAGUUAUCGUGCCAACGGUAAACGCUGGGUAGCUAUGUAUGGAGUGGAUAACCGCUGAAAGCAUCUAAGUGGGAAGCCCACCUCAAGAUAAGUAUUC
rnacentral:rRNA from 1 species